rnacentral:rRNA from 1 species
AGUGAACGCUGGCGGUAGGCCUAACACAUGCAAGUCGAACGGCAGCACAGUAAGAGCUUGCUCUUACGGGUGGCGAGUGGCGGACGGGUGAGGAAUACAUCGGAAUCUACUUUUUCGUGGGGGAUAACGUAGGGAAACUUACGCUAAUACCGCAUACGACCUACGGGUGAAAGCAGGGGAUCUUCGGACCUUGCGCGAUUGAAUGAGCCGAUGUCGGAUUAGCUAGUUGGCGGGGUAAAGGCCCACCAAGGCGACGAUCCGUAGCUGGUCUGAGAGGAUGAUCAGCCACACUGGAGCUGAGACGCGGUCCAGACUCCUACGGGAGGCAGCAGUGGGGAAUAUUGGACAAUGGGCGCAAGCCUGAUCCAGCCAUACCGCGUGGGUGAAGAAGGCCUUCGGGUUGUAAAGCCCUUUUGUUGGGAAAGAAAAGCAGCAGGUUAAUACCCCGCUGUUCUGACGGUACCCAAAGAAUAAGCACCGGCUAACUUCGUG